rnacentral:tRNA from 1 species
GAGGGUAUAGCUCAGUGUUAGAGCUCAUGCUUAGCAUGCACGCACGAGGUCCUGAGUUCAAUCCCCAGUACCUCCA